AUGGCAACUCAACCAGAAUAAAUAAGAAAGAGCAUGACAGCCUGUCAUUGCCUAAUGAAGCUGAGACAUUCAAGGAAAUCCUGGUGUUACGUGCUCCUGAGGAGAAAAUAAACCUAUCUGAUAAGUAACAAUAAGAUUUUUCUGAUGUUUGCACAUGCAUCAUGGUGAAAAGGGUUUCCAAUGUGAUGUCAUUCAGAAAAAAAAUGUGGAAGAUUCAGUUCAGACUGAAAGUCAGGAGAAUUAUGGAGAGGAGCUGUGAAACAUAUGUUACAUUUGUCAUAAAACAGAGCCAUAAUUAAUGUUUGAGGAAUGAAAGUAUUUGUUACAGGAUGAAAUGAGACAGCAACUUUUGGAUCACAUAUUCUUUCAAAUACUCUUUAGAGCUGUGUAUAUCUGAAUUUCUUGCUACUCAGUCAUCUGAUACGCAGUUGUGAUUAGAAGCGUACGUUAAACUAAACUAAGAAUUUAGAUUUCAAGGUGUCUGUUCUCACAGAAGCACACUGGUAAGUUGUACUGAAGAGAGUGUCUAUGAUAAAAUCACUUCUGGCAAAGUCACAUGAAAAUAUUUUUUAAUAUGCCAUUAAAAACUCCUCUGUCCCCUUAAACCAAGAGCUUGUUCACUUGAGCUCUCAGCUCAAUAAAGAUGUUUCACCACACAGACUUACCUAUCCUGGGUAUUUGAUGAGGAGAGCUGAUGGGUCUCAGCAGAGGUUACUGUAUUCAGUGAUUUGCAUGCCACAAGCUCUCAUCUCAACAUGGAAAUCAAGCCCAUUUUUUACUGUCAUUCUUUCCACUUUGUGCUCUAACCCUCUGAAAGCAUCUUCCCCCAGUGAAACUCAUACCAGCCACUCACAUUGUAAUUAUCCAAGCAGCCAAAAGCCCAGUGAUUUAUUUGCUUUAUUCUAGCUGGAAUAAAAUGUAAAUCUGGAUAAUAGCUGUCAUUUUCAGGUUCAGAGCUGGGAAUGUGAGAUAGAGAUUGAUUUUUAACUGUCCAUUUCCUGAGCUCAGAACAUUAUGCAGUGUUUCAUUUUGGCUUGUGCUGAACGUCUGUCACUGCAGACACAACAACAUCUGACCGGUUCAGGGUGCCUUAGCCCUUUUCAAUUGCUUUGUUCUGGCACUUCCCAAAAAUUCUCCAUCAAAAUAAUUUUUACUUUGGGACUAAAAAUUCUCCUGAAUAGACAAUAUUUAAUAGGUUGUGGGUUUUUUCUUUUUUCAUUUU